rnacentral:lncRNA from 1 species
AAGUACAAUUUAUUAGUAAAAUUAAGAGUCAAAAGUGAAAUAACUAAACCUUAUAUAACUCCCAAGGACUGGUAGUACAAGUUAUAAGCUACUAAGACUUAGAUUUUACAAAAGAAAAACUGAACUGAAAUAAUUACAACAUCUGUUUGGAUUGUAAAUGAAUAAGAUUGGAAUCAAAUGCUACCACGCACAAGUGAUAGCCAUAACUGGAACGCAUGUACAUCUUCAACGCCAGCUUCCACCAUGCACAGCAAUAACAACUCCAAAAUCUGCACGCAAGGUGCAGAAGUAUAGUAUAAGUACAACCGACCCCAUAUACUCAAUAAGUAUCCUAACUAAACUCGGCGAGGUAUAAGAAGUAAGAACUAUAAAUGAUACUCACCAACACCUGUACAGUUCAUAAUUUCAACAAGUAUAAAAUAGAUAUGUAAUCAAAUUAGGAAAUUCAGGUAAAACCACUUUGAUACUAAUAAUUCUUUGUCUUAAAGUGUUCUGCUCAGUCAGCAAUCCAGCAUAUAAAGAAGAUAUACAAGUAACUCAGGUAAGCAGUCGAGGAAGUUGCAAGUAAAGAAGAAAUGCAAUAACCAAAUAUCAGUCUGUUGCGGCGCGCAACCCGAUCCAAUAACAAUAACCAGCUCUCCUAGAGCUCACAUCAACCAAAAACCCACCGGUUUCUCACAAUCCGCCUGUACACCAUCAAGAGAGAAACAUAAGACGAUGACCCUAGGGGGAUGGAUCUGUAUCUACACGCUGCACGAAAAACUCACGUGCUAAUAAUAUCAACUGCACGGAUAACUCACGUGCUAUAAUAUCAAUAUCUGGAUCCGCACGAAUAACUCACGUGCUAAUAUCACAAUCCGCCCGGCAUGGUCACAAGCACAAUAUCAUAAUCCGUCCGGCAUGGUCACAUGCAUAACAACACAAUCUGCCCGGCGUGGUCACACGCAUCCAGUACAAAUCAUAUCACACAGAAGCAAGUAUACAAGAACACAUGUAUAUGAUGGAUAAAUAUCAGAUUUCAUGCUCCUAGACUGGUAUAAUUACAUGCUAAAGUGUAGGCAUGUGCAAUGUGUGUUAUCAUAGCUCAAAUUGACAAUUUAUCAUAGAAUUAGAAAUUACCAAGUUUAUUCAGUGAAUUAGCCUCUUCGUAACUUCAAACAUGGCUCAAAUAGUUCAUAACAAUGAUACAAAUAUGAGAAAUAUUAUUUCUUAAAGCAUAACUGUCAACUCUAGGCAUAUCAUAGCCUAAGCACUACCCCGAGCAUGGAUAAAUACCUCAGUGCUCCUACAUGGCUAAAACCCCUCACAUAUGGGCACCCAUAACACAUAGCUUUCACAAAUAAUUCAAGUAACUAGUGCUUCAACCAAAUUUAGAUAAGAUACUUACCUCAAACAAGCCAAAUCCAAUAUGGAACAAGCCAACCAAAACUCUACAAAUGCCAUCUCGCACGUACCGACCUUCGAACGGCUCAAAACUAGCCAAAAGAAACUCAAGAACAUCAAAUAAUGCCAAAGGAAACAAACCCAAUCGAUAAAGGUCGAAUCUUUAAUCAAAAGCCCCAAAGUCAAUUAAAAAUUCAAACCCAAGCCCACACCUCGGAACCCGACAAAGCUUAUAAAAUUCGAUAACCCAUUCAAUUACGAGUCCAACCAUGCUAGUUUCACUCAAAUUUGACUCCGAAUCGAUGUUCAAAACUCAAAAAUUCACUUUAUGAAAUUUUAGACAAAACCCCAAAAUUCCUCUUUAAAAUUCAUAAUCCAAAUGCCAAAAACGAAGAUAGAUUCAUGAAAUAUAAUCGAAACUGAGUAGAGAACACUUACCCCAAUCCAUAUUGUGAAAAUCGCCCAAAUUCGAAGUCUCCAACACAAAAUAUGACAAAAACAACCAAACUUUGAUAUGUAAUGAGUCUGCCUAUAACUUCAGCAUUUGCGGACAAAAUGUCGCACCUGCGGCCUCGCAUUUGCGAGCUAAAAUGUCGCAUAUGCGACUUUAGCUUAAAGAACCAUGAUUGCACCUGCGAAACACCUUUUGCGUCUGUGACUCCGCAGAAGCGGACACACAGCUCACGUCCAUUCUCGCAAAAGCAUUCCAGACCUCGCAGAAGCGCUUACCCAUCUGCGCUUUUUUCUCCUCAGAAGCGGAACUCACCAAGACACCUCUGAUUCACAGAAGAGAGAAUUCCACCGCAUAAGCGCGUCCGCACCUGCGGACAAUUAUGCACAGGUGCAAUGAACCAGCACCAGAACUGCCAGCAUGACCAAAAUAAUCUGAAACUCGUCCUAAACACACUCGAGCUCCCUCUGGACCCCAUCCAAACAUGCCACAAGUAACAUAACACAACACAUACCUAGUCAAGUCCUCAAAUCACACAUUACAACAUCGAAAUGGUGAAUCGCACCUCAAACUAAACUUAAUAAACUUUUGAACUUUCAACUUCCAUACCUCGUGCCGAACUAUAUCAAAUCAACUCGGAAUGAGCUUAAAUUUUGCAUACAAGUCCUAAGUGACAUAAAAAAGCUAUUCCAGUUCUCAGAACCACAAUCCAAACCCGAUAUCAUCAGAGUCAACCCCCGGCCAAACUUAUGAACAUUCUGAACCUCCAUAUUUCCAACUUUAGCCAAUUAGUGUCAAAACCUUCUAGAAAUAUCCAAAUACAAAUCCAGGCAUACGCCUAAGUCCAAAAUCACUAUCAAACCUAACGGAAUCAUCAAAACUUCGAUCCGAGGUCAAAUACUCAAAAGUCAAACUUGGUUAACUCUUCCAACUUAAAGCUUCAAAAAUAAAAUUCAUCAGAGUCAACCCCCGGCCAAACUUAUGAACAUUCUGAACCUCCAAAUUUCCAACUUUAGCCAAUUAGUGUCAAAACCUUCUAGAAAUAUCCAAAUACAAAUCCAGGCAUACGCCCAAGUCCAAAAUCACUAUCAAACCUAACGGAAUCAUCAAAACUUCGAUCCGAGGUCAAAUACUCAAAAGUCGAACUUGGUUAACUCUUCCAACUUAAAGCUUCAAAAAUAAAAUUCAUUCUUCCAAACUAAUUUUGAAUCACCUAAAAACCAAAACUGACAAUUCACACAGGUUAUAAUACAUCAUAUGAAGCUACUCAAGACUUUAAAUAGCUGAACGGAGUGCAAAUGCUCAAAAUGAUUGGUCGGGUCAUUACAGUUGUACCCAAAAUAGGCAUCAAGGAAACUCAUCAACUCGUGCCCAGUCGUUGCAUCAAUAAUUGAUCAAUGUUUGGCAAUGGGAGCGAGUCUUUUGGGCACGCCUUAUUCAGAUCCUUAUAAUCUACGCACAUGCAAAAUUUAUUAUUCUUUUUAUGAACUACUACUACUACUACUACUUUAGCUAGCUAGUCAGGAUACUUUACCUCCCAGAUUGAACCGAUAUCAAGCAAUCGAAUUACCUCUUCAUUGACAAACCUGUUUCUGACCUCAGCGAUUGGGCGCUUCUUUUGCCUUAUCGGAGAAAUGCUAGGGUCUAGGCUUAACUCGUGCACGGCCACCUCUAGAGGGAUACCUAUCAUAUCCCUCUGGCUGGGAUCAGAUCUCAUCGGCCUCAGGAAUCGUGCUUCCUUAAUGCUCCUCAUCGUCGAUACCAGCUCCACUAUGAUGACAUUGAAAUUGUACAUGGACAAUCUGGGAUAGGUGGAAUCCUGGGAGCCUGAUACCUCUUUGUCUUGCAAUGACCUGUUAUUUGGCCUCGGUCAAUGCUUCUAUCGGGAGCGAACCUGUCCGCUGACCAAAAACCUCUACCGCAUUUCAUCCCUUUGGUAGGGCAGAAACCAACCCUUAGAAGAUCGCCGAUCUGUGUCAAAAUCAUCCUUCAACUUAUCCUUGUUCUUUUCUUGAUCCCGACCCUUGGUUGAUGUGGGGAAAUCGAGUUGGUCAUCUUUUAUUCUUAUCUUUGAUUUGUAACGGUUGUGGACAUCUGACCAUGUAGUUGUCUAGAACUUGAGCAAUCUUUCUUUCAGUUUCCAGGAGGCGUCGGAGCUCCUUGGGUUCAACCCUUUAGUGAAUGCCUCAGCCACCCAUUCAUGCGGCAUGGCCAGUAGCUGAAUCCUUUCUUUCUGAAACUUGGUCACGAUCUCCCGCAGCAAUUCGGACUCUCCUUGGGAAAUUCCGAAUAUGUCGGCCUUACGGGCUUGUAGCUUCCUGGCCCCGACAUGGGCCUUGAUGAAAGAAUAUGCAAGCAUCUCGAAGGAAUUUAUUGAGAGCUCGGGUAAAAGUGAAUACUAUGUCAGGGCCUCCUUCAUGAGGGUUUCUCUGAACUUCUUCAGCAGGACCGACUCAAUAUCGUGCGAGUCUAAGUCGUUUCCUUUCACCGUCGUUGUAUAAGAGGUGAUGUUCUCCUGAGGAUCUGAAGUUCCAUUAUAUUUUGGUACGUAUGGCAUUUUUAACCUCUUCGGAAUCAACUCUAAUAUUGCGCUCGAUUUGACCAGCAACUGGGUGUAUUUCUUUGAGUCUGGGCCCUUCAGCACUGGUGGUGUACCCAGAAUUUGGUCCAUUCGAGCGUUUAUUUCCCUCAUAAACCGCAUGAGCUCGAUUUUAAAAGGAUCAUUACAGUUAUUAUUACUAGAUCCGCUGUCGAUCCCCCCAGCCUCGUCUAAGCCAACCUCACCCCUUCGGGUGUUGUUAUCUACCCUUUGUGCUAUUUGAUUUGCGGGAGCACUGGGAGGAACUGGACGUCUUCCAUUCGUGUUGUUGGAAGCACUCGACGACGCUUGCUUCAAUACAGUCAUGGCAUGGUCUUGCCGUGAGAGAUGGGCCAUGAUAGCCUUUUGUUGUUCCCUUAGGAUCCUCACCGUUUUCGCAACAUGCUUGCCUUCAGCAUCAUCAGGAGUUGCUUCCCGUACAUGUCAGGGAUACCGCCCCCCAUGAACCGGCAUGACUACGCCCACUUCAUUACGGGUUUCACUGAUUGAUCCUCGUGUUGAGACGGAUUUUCCUGUGCCUCAACGUUAUGUGCGAUGUUGACAUUGUUAUCUUCCAUCUUUUACCAUUUUUGCUAAGAAACAAAUAAUCAAACAGAAUAGUAAUAAAUGCAAGAAUCAACUCAAUUAUGCAACUGUCUAAGUCCCACGGUGGAUGCCACACUGUUUACCCGUAAAACGGUACAGUUAAAUUUAUAGCGUGAUUUAUAGAUAAGUGAAUCGACUUGAUCUCAAAAUGAUAAAUAAAUUAAAUAAAAUGCAAGACUUAGCAUUGAAAUUGAGAUAAAAUAGCAAAUAACUUGGUUCCGGGAGCAGGGCUUCUGAAGGCAGCAAAUAAGAGUAUCGUAAGACAGAAAAUAAAGUAUUAUAACUUGGAAUAAUGUGUAGCAUAAGUUUGUCAGAAAAUUCGUGUCUUACAAUGGCUGUUGAAGUCACUAUUUAUAGCUAUACCUAGGGAACAACGUCCUAGGAUCAAGUCACGUAUGCGAUGGAGAAGAAGGGAGGCAGACCUUAUCGAAUAGAGAAGAGUAUUGAUUUUCUAUCUUGUAUUGAUGAGUGUUGAUUACAAGAUGCAGGAUUUUGUGGCCCAAGGUAUACAUGGAGUGAUAAUAGAGGAUCACCUAAAACUAUAUGGGAGAGGCUCGACAGACUCUUGUUUAAUAUAGAAUGGUUGGAUGAAUUUUCAGAAACUUCAGUGGAGCAUUUAGCAAGAGUUUGCUCAGAUCAUGCGCCUCUUCUAAUCAAUUUGAAAAAGGCUUCUACAAUACGUCCUAAGUAUUUUAAAUUCCUGGACUUUUGGACUAAAGAUGAAUAUUUCUUAUAUGUAGUGACUGAGGAGUGGCAGGAGACAGUUCAGGGCAAUGCUCUAUGGACGCUGCAUCAGAAGUUAAAAAGAGUGAGUAGAAGAUUGAGUGUAUGGUCGAGGCAAGCAUUUGGGGACAUAUAUGAGGAACCAAAAAGGCUUGAAAAGCAAAUAAAUGACCUGGAGACAAUGCAUAUUAUUGAUACUACACCUACACAUAGAGUAGAGCUAAAUGAAGCGCGAAGUAUGUGAGGUUUUAAAAAAUACAAGAAGAGGUGCUAGUACAAAAAGAAAAGGCACAAUGGCUGGAGGAGGGUGACAGGAAUACUGCAUACUUUCAUAGUAUUAUAAAAGGACGAAGGAAAAGAUUAUCCAUAUUGAAAAUACAAGAUGAUGAUGGGCAGUAGAGAGAGAGAGAGAGAGGGAGUCAAAUUGCAGAAGCAGCUAUAGACCACUUUCAGAAGAUUUUUAAUCAUGGAGUAGCCUCAGAUGACUUCUCUGUACCAGAAUGCAUUAAUCCAAAAUUCUCUGAGGAGGAUAAUGAGAUGCUAACUACUAUUCCGACCUUGCAGGAAACCGAAGAUAGUGUAUUUUCCAUUGAUCCUACUAAUGCUCCAGUACCAAAUGGACUGAAUGCUAUAUUCUUUCAGAAGUGUUGGCCAAUUAUUGCAGAAGAUGUGCACAAUGUUGUACUGGAGUUCUUUAAUGGGGCAACUAUGCCUAGAUUCUUCACUCAUACUUGCUUAGUCAUGCUACCGAAGGUUGAAUUUCCACAGAAGUUGUCAGACCUCAGACCAAUCAGUUUAUGUAAUGUGAUUAGAAAUAUAAUAUCCAAGAUUUUGAAUGCGAGACUUCUGCAAAUACUUCCAAAGAUAAUUUCAGCAAAUCAGCCGGACUUUAUCAAAGUGAGACAGAUAUCUGAGAACAUAAUGUUGGCACAGGAAAUCAUAAGUGGCAUCCAGAAUCCUCAAAGAUGCGAUAACGUUGUCAUGAAACUUGAUAUAGCCAAGGCAUAUGAUAGAGUAUCGUGGCAAUAUCUUUAUCAAAUGAUGAGGAAACUGGUAUUUUCAGAGCAAUGGGUAGGUUUGAUUCGAAGGCAUAUAUCAUGCAACUGGUAUUCAAUUAUUAUUAAUGGCCAGAGACAUGGUUUCUUCAAGUAGGAGAAUGGCUUAAGGCAGGGGGACCCUAUCUCACCCUCAUUAUUUGUUAUCACUGCUAAGCUUUUGUCUAUACUAUUGAAUAAUUUACAUAAUAAUAAAGACUUUACUGAUUUCUAUAUGAAUAGAAGGGGACCGCAGGUGAACCACCUAGCAUUUGCAGAUGAUAUUAUUUUAUUCUCUAGUGGUAGAAAGAAAACAACCAAACUAUUGAUGAAUACAUUGGCUACCUAUGAGGCUACAUCUGGUCAAUUAGUAAAUAAGGCUAAAAGUUAUUUCUUAUUGGCUCCUGGUGUGAUGGACAACAUGGGUAGCGGAAUAGUAAGAUGGAUUGGAAUGCAACAACGAAGUUUUCCAAUUAAAUAUUUAGGGUGUCCAUUAUUUGUCGUAAGAGAGAGGAUUUCCAAUUACUCUGAGAUGAUUAGCAAGGUAACUAUAAGGAUAAGAGGUUGGCAUACCAGGUUGUUAUCUCCAGGAGGUAAAGCGGUUUUGAUUAAAUAUAUACUCCUUGCUCUCCAUGUGCAUUUGAUUUCAAUAGUACAACCUCCUAAGGGGGAAAUAGUUCAAAUUGAGAAACUCCUCGCCAAAUACUUUGGUGUUCAAUGGAUGGGUCAGAUAGGCACCAUUGGAUUUCUU